CAUUCCUGGAAAAUGAGAGUUCAGUCUCUCAGUUCUGCCUAUUUUCAGCUGUUUCAGGAUUCUGCCACUAAAAAAAAAAAAAAGGUAAAGCGUUUUUGGAUGGUUAAUUGAUAAACCUCACACUGCCAAAGUAUUUUGUGGUGAUCGUUUCACUGACUUUGUGACGCAACUUUAGAAAUAUUUAAAAUGAAUUUU